GUGGGGAAUUUUGGACAAUGGGCGCAAGCCUGAUCCAGCAAUGCCGCGUGCAGGAAGAAGGCCUUCGGGUUGUAAACUGCUUUUGUACGGAACGAAACGGUCCGGGUUAAUACCCUGGGCUAAUGACGGUACCGUAAGAAUAAGCACCGGCUAACUACGUGCCAGCAGCCGCGGUAAUACGUAGGGUGCAAGCGUUAAUCGGAAUUAUUGGGCGUAAAGCGUGCGCAGGCGGUUUUGUAAGACAGGCGUGAAAUCCCCGGGCUCAACCUGGGAAUUGCGCUUGUGACUGCAAGGCUGGAGUGCGGCAGAGGGGGAUGGAAUUCCGCGUGUAGCAGUGAAAUGCGUAGAUAUGCGGAGGAACACCGAUGGCGAAGGCAAUCCCCUGGGCCUGCACUGACGCUCAUGCACGAAAGCGUGGGGAGCAAACAGGAUUAGAUACCCUUGUAGUCC
rnacentral:rRNA from 1 species